rnacentral:misc_RNA from 1 species
GUAGGUGAACCUGCGGAGGGAUCAUUAUCGAGUGAGGGCCUCCGCGUCCGACCUCCAACCCCAUGUUAUCCGACCACUGUUGCCUCGGGGGCGACCCGGCCUUCGGGCGUCGGGGCCCCCGGCGGACACCAAAACCCUGCAUCCGUGCGUCCGAGUCCACGAUUGAAUCAAUCAAAACUUUUAACAACGGAUCUCUUGGUUCUG